rfam:Ictidomys tridecemlineatus contig093610, whole genome shotgun sequence.
GGGGUUGUGGCUCAGUGGUAGAGCACUUAUCUGGCAUGUGUGAAUCACUGAGUUCAAGUCUCAGCACCUCA